AAUCCUGGAAGAUAUUUUUUCACGCCAGUUCCAGACUAUACGUACAUGGCAAUAGUUGCAACAUGCUGCUGUUUCACACCAUUUGGAAUUGUUGCUUUAUGUCUCGCCAAUUCGACAAACAAACUGGCGGUCAGAGGAGACAGACAGCAAGCCAUGGAGACAUCAUACAUUACAGUAGUUUUUAUACUGUUGUCGUUUAUUUUUCCUCUCUUUCUAAUUAGUCUCUUCAUUGCUAUUUGUGUGGCAUUAGAAAACGCCUAACAUGGCGUUUUCAUUCGAAAACACACUUAAAGAGCUCGAUACCUAAUUAUUUUGUAUACCUGAAGCUAAAACAUGAUAUGGUGAUAUUUUACAAAGACAAACCUGUGAAAGAGUUGCUUGAAGGAUGUUAUAUUCCCCAAAUAACUUACUUACGACCACUAAUAAAUUAAUAUACUAAUCGAUACUUCUAUUGCCCUCCGAUAAUUUGCAUUUUUCGUCAUACUUCAAGUACUACAUUUAUGAAAUUUCCCAUACGUUUAGACAAAUUUGUUUUAAAUAAUAUGCUUAAAUUGAGACAAAAUCAGAUUAUGCAGUGAUAUCAUUGUAUUCACUUUACGAACGCUACCCAUUUUUAAAAGGUCACACAAAUAUCUGAAUGUUUAAUGUGCACAUAUCACUUAUAAGGAUACUGAUUGAUAGAAAUUGAAUUAUUGAUCAGAUAUCAAGCCGUAUUUAAUUUUUUUCUAAGAUAUGGCAGGAUAAAGAAGUAAUAAUGAUUUUGCCAUGAUUUUCCUGCAUUAUAAUGAAAUACUUCGAUCUUUUAAUUAUAAACAUAUUUUUUUCGAUUUUAAAAUUUAAUUGAGUUUGCAAAAAGAAUGGAAUACAUCAGAGCAUUUUUCAAGUUCUUUGAAACGUGAAUAUAUAUUUUGAAAUGCAUGUUCUAAAGAUGUAAUCAUUUUCAUAUGCAUAAUGUUUGUAAUAUGAAAGACAUUGCAAAACAUAUCAAAAGCUCGUUAGAUAUUCCGUUAAGAUGUGUUUUGUUCGUAGCCCAUGUAUUCCAAUCAUGUCCCAGUACAUCAUUCUUAAAUGGAAGAGUAUUAUUCUGAAAUUGUUGACAGUGAAAUAAAUUAUGUGAAGGUUUUCAACUCUGGUUACCAUUCCCAGUAAGUUCAACCAUAUUUCAUUGAAACUUAUCGUCACAAUCAUUUAUCUCAUUCUGUUCUGUCUGCACCCUGACUUUUAAAACAGUCCGUAUACGUUCAAAGCAUUCCUGACUUCUACAUGUAUUGUUUUGUCGGACCCUAAAGAGUGUUUCUCUUGAUAUCCUGUCUUAUGCAAAGGCAUUGGGUUAAUGCAGUUUUCUUUUGACCAUAAGGCCCCAUGUGGUUCUGGGACGAUCUAUGUAUGAAAAGAAGUGGAACCACUGCCUUACCCUUGCACGAUCGUAAGAGGCGACUAAUAGGGUCUUAACACUUGGUUUUGCUUCAUUCUGUGAUUCCAGCAGGUCUGCAAAUUUUGAUUCCAUACCUCAUGUUUUUAUUUCGAUGUAAAUGAGAUGUGAAACCAAAAUUUGUGGUCCUGUUUGGCGCCAUAUAACCUAUACUGUGUUGGUGCGCCGUAAAAUCCAAAUAAAUUUAACCAUAAGGUUUGCUUUUCACGUAGAUUUGGUAGGAAUUCACCGGCGGGGGUAACUUCUAUUUACACUGCCAUGUAACAUUUGAACUUGGUGGAGAAACAGAUCGAGGUUAGAUGCGUGACUUAUUUUGUUUUAAAAAUAAAAUUUAAUGGAAACAAACAACCCCUUAAAAGGACUAAUCACCUGUUAUAGUUUUGUAUGAACAGUGUAAACACUGGAUUUUAUAUGGCUCUAUGAAUCAUAUGUAUUGAACAUCGUUGUUCAGUUUUCUGAUAUUUAUCACCGAUCAGUUGGAAAGCCUGAUCUGGAAGGUUACUUAAGUUAAUUGUUUGUAUCAAGUUGAAUAGUCAUACUGUAUUGCAAAAUUUUAAUGUUUUGCAAUGAUAUAUCAAAUCUUAAUAAAAAAGCAAACUUGUAUGUUAUCUUCCUGUCAAAUGUUUGAAAUAGAAUAUUCUAACAACGUACGUAUGAGUUACUAAUUUGAGUUAAAUCGCCUCGAUAGCCUAGUGGUAGAGCGUCCGCUUCGAGUUCGGAACGUCGUGGAUUCGAUCUCCGGCUGCGUCAUACUAAAGACGUGAAAAAUGGUGCCAGUAGCUCCCUUGC